GUUAACCCAUUCAAAUUUACUUCUUUUUCUGCUGAUUCUAAAUUGUCUUGACCUGCAUUUCGUUUACAAAUCAAUGCAUUGUAAGUACAGACUAGUUUCAUAACAUUUCUGAUCUUUAGUUUUUUCUUAUUAACAAACAAUUUCUUGUCAAUUUCACUAUUGGCAAUUUCACAUUGUGUGUAUAAAGAUUGCCACAAUACAGCAUCUGAAU